UACCCUAUUCUGUUUCCCUCAUUCCACAGGUCUCACCUGAAAGUACGCUCUCAAGAAAUCACAUGAUGAGAACUUUCAUCUCAGGCUGUGUGUCUAAGGAACCCAACUUACAGCAAAGAGCAACACCACAGCAGUCUCCGCUGUCCAGAAGCCCGUUUAUGGUCAAGGGUACUGACACAUAAACAGGAACCAGUACUCCCUUAGCAUACCUCAGUCAGUGGGAGAUUACUGAGGCAUACCUGUGGCAAUAAGAAGGAGACACAUCAUACCAUCUGGAACAGUGGCCUCACAUCUCAGUCUAGGAACAGACACCUGGUUGGAGCUCCUUAAGUGGCAGGCGUAAGUAAGGAAGUGAAGCAGAGGUGCAGCAGACUUCUCCGGGAAGUGCUCUCCUUCUGAAACUAAGCAAGGAGCUCUAGGAGCGAAGCUCUUGACCCUGGUGGUGAUGCAGCUAUGAUGUGCCCUGGACCUCUUCCCCAGUCCAAGUCCUCUGUAUGUUGCUCAGUGAUAUGGGAGGAGGAGACCUGAAUCAGAAAACCUGGUUCCCAUGCCUGCCCUGCUGUUUUCCUGCUGUGUGACAUUGGGCAACCAGAUAUAGCCUCUGAGCCUCAUCUAUAAAAUGGGGUCACAAACGGAACAAAACCAAGCAUCAGACCUUAUGUGGUAAAUGCGGUACUGCACUGCCCACAUCCCGCUUCAGGACUGAGGCCCACAGAAAGAGCUCCAGAUAUGUUUCUAAUGAGCAGCCAUGUUUAAAAACAACUGGACUCGAUGAGAAUGGUCCUAGGGAACAGAAUUUUUAAAAAGCGUUUUGAAACUGGAUCACCAGCCUGUUACCUGGAAAUGAAAGCCUCAUCACUAGCAGUGGGUGGGAUACUCAUAGUUCUUGGUUUUUCUGUUGUGUUUUUAAAAUGAUGUAGUGUUUUAUUAUCAUCAAUUGUUCUAUUAACGAUUGAGAGGGGUGUUGAUAUCUCUACUACAUAUUGGAUUUAUAUGUUUAUCCAUUCAAUUCUAUCAUUUUUUUCAUGUUCUGCUAUUAAGUGCAUGCACAUGUAGGCUUGGUAUAGCUUCUUGAGAAUUAACCUUUUUAUCAUUAUAAAUAAUCCUGGCUGUAUAUUUUAUCCUGAGUAAGAAUUUUGUUUCUUUGUAUACUUUGCCUCACUUUGGCUAGGUCAGCAAUCUAUAUGUGUGUGUUCUCAGUUAUUCAGUUAUUUCCAACCCUUUGUGACCCUAUGGACUGCAGCCCAUAUGAGUCAAUAAACUUUAUUUUCGGUCUCAACCAUAUUUGCAAUAGGUUUAUUUUCUCCUCCCUUGUUCAGGACCCCAUUUAGUUAUAUCUUUUUUGAAGCUUCUGAAGACAAAAUUUGUUAUCACCUCUGGCAAUCAUACUGAGCAUGGAAUCCACUGAGUACAUAUUGCAUGCAUUCUAAUUUUAUUGAGCAUGAUUGCAUGCAUUUGUUUUACUUGUGGAUUGGCUGCUCUUGGGUUAGUCAUCAGUUGUCCAAAAUAGGUAGAAGGUGGGAUCAUGUGAUAUAAUAUGACUGUCCAGGGAUAUUCCUUGAUAAGGGCCUAUGGAUGUACCACUCCCUUGAUGAGAAGUAGAGAACAUAUACACCAUUGAUGACAAAAUGUAAGGUCUCUCACCACAAGUUACCUCCUUGAAGAGGCAUUCCCUAAUCUUUCCAACUAUAAGAGAAUCCCUUCCCAUUCCCUUAUUCUGCUUUUUCUCUGUAACAAUAAUCAUUAUGUAACAGUUAAUAAAAUGUAUAGAUGUUUUUAAAAUUUCUAUCUCCCCAAGUAGAAUGUAAGCUCUGUGAAGCCGAGAGACUUCCUCAAGUUUGUCACCCCUCUAGUCUUAGGGUCCAGUGCAGUAUCUGUCAUACUGAAAUGUGCUCAGUUUUUUUCUGAAAUAAAUGAGUGAAUGAACAAGUAAAUCAAUCACUAUACAUUUUAAAAAUGA